rnacentral:rRNA from 1 species
UACGUAGGGUGCAAGCGUUGUUCGGAAUUAUUGGGCGUAAAGCGCGUGUAGGUGGUUAUGUAGGUCCGCUGUGAAAACUUGAGGCUCAACCUCAAGCUGUCGGUGGAAACCACAUGGCUAGAGUCCGGAAGAGGAGAGUGGAAUUCCUGGUGUAGCGGUGAAAUGCGCAGAUAUCAGGAAGAACACCAAUGGCGAAGGCAGCUCUCUGGGACGGUACUGACACUGAGACGCGAAAGCGUGGGGAGCAAACAGG